rnacentral:rRNA from 1 species
AUCUAUAGCCAUACCACCAUGAACAUCCCUGAUCUCACAUGAUCUUGGAAGCUAAGCAGAAUUGGGUCUAAUUGGUACUUAGAUGGGAGAGAAAGGAGACGGGAGGAGACA